ensembl:snoRNA SCARNA3 small Cajal body-specific RNA 3
ACUGGAAGCUGCAGGGCUUGGCCAUGUGGGCAAAUGAAACGUCUUUUGUCUGCAUUUGCAGUCUUCCUAGAGCAAAGUGGAGGUCUCUGUCUGGGUUAGGACAGCUAGCUAACCCUGAUCGUUCCCCUCCAUACACU